GAGCAGUGAUGUCUGGAUGAGCCUGCCUGCUGACUAACAGCCCGGGAUGGCGACUCCCAUCCAGCAGCUGAGCAGCUGGGCCAGGAGGCUGAACAAACAUCCCUCACUCAAGAUGCACUCAAGAACGCUAAGGAACUCUGAAGAAAAAGGGUCCAACCUGUCUGACCUGAAGUAUCCUGGCCUGGUGCCCACACCCGCUGGGCCUGUGCACCUGAAGAUGUGGAAUUCUUUCUACUCCAGAUGCUGUGGACGCCGAAUGACUGAAUUGACCCUGCUGCGUAUGAAGGAUGGGCUCUAUCAUGAUGGCCUGCCAAUAACAAUUGGGAGCUCUCUGGUUUAUGUUCUGGCAAAUAUCAACACAACAAAACAAAACACAGCAAAAACUCCGUUUGUGAGGCUUCUGGAGAGGAGAAAAGCAGUCUCUGAACAUAUGGUUACCAAUUAGAGUUUUCUUGAACAGUUACGCUUUCGAGAGAAGACAGAAAAUGUGUCCCUGCC